CAAUUCGGCAGCAGACACCAGCUGGGUAUCCUCCAAUUUAAUUCUGACACUAUUUGGAGAUAGCAUCAGAUCCCACAGGUUGAGUGCUCAGUCCCCAAGACCGCCCACCCCCUAGACACCAGUCAGCACUGAGCUAGGAACAGGCCAGGUGUGCAGAAGCCUCCUCCCUGUCUGAGGAUAGUUAUGGAAGGCUAAAUCGAACUGGGCUUUGGACAGACACUUACAUUCUGGAAGGUGGCAUGGACUUACUUUGAGAAGGCUCACCCAGUCCUGCCUUUGUGGAAAUGAGGGAACCCAGGCCCAGGCAGCCUCAAAGCCCGACUGCAGAGACGAACUAGUCAAUGGAGCCCAGAGCUGUCUAUCUCUGGAGAAGAGCUGUCUGUGAGGCAGGUGUAUACAGAAGAGAGAGAGAGGAAGGAAGAGAACGAGAGACUGCAGACAAAUAUGAACAGCAAGUGUCUCUCUUCAGCCCUCCCUGGAGCCAGGCCGUGCUUCUGCUCCUGACUUACAGUUGCUU
rnacentral:lncRNA from 1 species